rnacentral:lncRNA from 10 species
ACCCUCAGUUCUCAGAAUUGCCCAUCCUUUCCAAGAAAACUCAUGAAUAAUCUACCCGUUGUUUAGCAUAUAAUCAAGAAAUAACCAAAAAAAAAAUGGGCAACCAGCAGCCCUCAGGGCUGCUCUGCCUAUGGAGUAGCCAUUAUUUUAUUCCUUUACUUUCCUAAUAAACUUGCUUUCACUUUACUUUAUGGACUCCCCUGAAUUCUUUCUUGUGUGAGAUCCAAGAACCCUCUCUUGGGGUCUGGAUCAGGACCACUUUCUGGUAACAACCUCAGUUUACUCAUCUGUGUAUUGAACAUGCUUGGUGUAGGGUCUGGAACAAAGAGGGUUCACAACAAAUAUUUUUUGAAUGUAUAAGGACUCUAAAGGUUGCACAAUCUAUUCUUUCAGCUCAAAGUCCUGUCGCCUCUACAUUUUUCUGUACACAGCCCACAAGUGCCUCAAGUUUAUCAUCACCUCCUUCACCUCCAACCCUUCACCUCCAAACCUGCUUCUCCCCAUCCUGCCUUGUGUUCCUUAUCUCACUGAAUAGCAGGUCAUCCCCUCAGUUAACCUAGCUAGAAACCUGGGAACCUACCUUUGCUGCUUUACCACUUCCUCUUACGCCCUCCCAUUCAACCAAUGAUCACGUCCUGUCAAUUCUGUCAUCUUUCACCUAUUCAUUCAUUCUAAAAAUAUUUAUUGACCAUCUAUUAUGUGCCAGGGAUUGUUCUAAGUAUCGGGGCUACAGAGAACAAAAGAUAUAAAAACCUCUGCCCUCAAAGAGUGUAUACUUUAGUUGGGGAAGACAAACAAUAAUCAAAUUAAUGAUUGAGUUAUACAGAAUGUCAAAUGGCAAUAAAAACUAUGGAGAAAAAUUAAGCAGAGAAAGUAUAGGCUGUGGGGAAGGGGCUGCUGUUUUAUUUAUUUAUUUAUUUAAUUUUUUGAGGCGGAGUCUUGCUCUGUC